AACGAACGCUGGCGGCAUGCCUAACACAUGCAAGUCGAACGAGACCUUCGGGUCUAGUGGCGCACGGGUGCGUAACGCGUGGGAACCUGCCCUUAGGUUCGGAAUAACUCCCCGAAAGGGGUGCUAAUACCGGAUAAUGUCUUCGGACCAAAGAUUUAUCGCCUUUGGAUGGGCCCGCGUUGGAUUAGCUAGUUGGUAGGGUAAAAGCCUACCAAGGCGACGAUCCAUAGCUGGUCUGAGAGGAUGAUCAGCCACACUGGGACUGAGACACGGCCCAGACCCCUAGGGGAGGGGGGAGGGGGGAAGAUGGGAAAGGGGGGGAAAGCCUGACCCAGAAAUGCCGGGUGGGUGAGGAAGGCCUUGGGUUGGGAAAGCUCUUUUACCCGGGAUGAUAAUGACAGUACGGGGAGAAUAAGCUCGGGCUAACUCCGU
rnacentral:rRNA from 1 species